AUUGAACGCUGGCGGCAUGCUUUACACAUGCAAGUCGAACGGUACAGGGUGCUUGCACCGCUGACGAGUGGCGAACGGGUGAGUAAUGCGUCGGAACGUGCCGAGUAGUGGGGGAUAACGCAUCGAAAGGUGUGCUAAUACCGCAUACGAACUGAGGUUGAAAGUGGGGGACCUUCGGGCCUCACGCUAUUCGAGCGGCCGACGUCUGAUUAGCUAGUUGGUGAGGUAAAGGCUCACCAAGGCGACGAUCAGUAGCGGGUCUGAGAGGAUGAUCCGCCACACUGGGACGGAGACACGGCCCAGACUCCUACGGGAGGCAGCAGAGGGGAAUAUUGGACAAUGGGCGGAAGCCUGAUCCAGCCAUGCCGCGUGUGUGAAGAAGGCCUUUUGGUUGUAAAGCACUUUAAGCGAGGAGGAGGCUACUAGUACUAAUACUACUGGAUAGUGGACGUUACUCGCAGAAUAAGCACCGGCUAACUCUGUGCCAGCCGCCGCAGUAAUAC
rnacentral:rRNA from 1 species